rnacentral:lncRNA from 1 species
GUCCGGGGGGAGGGAAGGAGGACGGCUGUAAUCUCCAGCUGCAAUUCCUCCCACGCAUCACAUGCGCCGUCGUGGAUAACAUAACGUGGGGGGGUAUGGAAGUUGGGGGCAGUGACAAAGUGGCAGUGGCUAUGGCAUCUAGCCCAUAAGAAGAGGGACCCACGCAGGCGGGUGUCCAUCCGAGGUCCGGAGCCACGGCUCGGAUCGACGCGGACGCUCCCCGACGGGCUUCCUCGCGUGUCUGUGGUUGUCGCAGGCCAGAGAAAACGUCCAGUAACCAGAUCCCAGCGGAGCGGUCGGGGUCAUUGUCAUGUUGACAGUGAAGCGGGAAGAAGAGCAGCCAGACGCUGUCAGUCAAGACACCUCCUGUGCACCCUCCCACCACCACCCCCACCCACAGCGUGACGUUACAGGUGACUUGAAUGUGGAUCCUCUAUCCACCCUGCACUUCAGGUUGACUUCUUAAAGUUUGGGUCGUAAAAAACUGUGUACAAGAUGGAUGAUUCAAUCACAGUGGUAACAGACACCUCCCCCUCUCCCCUUUGAACACUAAGGACACAAGUGGAGGACGGAACAUUCCGGAAGCGCUCUAUGUGGUCGACAUCAACUCAACAGCACUUAAGAGCAGCAACCACUGUCUCCGCCUCAUGUCUGCACGAGUUGAAUUUUUCGUGUGCCGUGGAGGGUUAAAUUACAUAAACUUCGAUAUUUAAAUGAUCAUGAUAUUUGCAAAUAAUCAUAUCAGUUGUAACGAACUCUGCUUUUGGAAGCAGCUCCUUUAUUUUUUUCUGUUAUCGUGUUACAUUUAGUCCACCACACCCCCCCCCCCCCGGCAUUGCUUAUUUUCG